AUACAGCUGACGAGUCUUAAAUAGGACGAAACGAGCGUCCUGAAU
rfam:Schistosoma mattheei strain Denwood, Zambia genome assembly, scaffold: SMTD_contig0001049